rnacentral:pre_miRNA from 1 species
CGGGGGAGGCCGGAUCCUGAGCUGUGUCCCGGCGCCCUGUGCUCUGGGACCUGCGCUGUUGGAUUCGCGCUCCCGCCCCGCAGCCCCCU